rnacentral:rRNA from 1 species
UACAGAGGUCUCAAGCGUUGUUCGGAUUCACUGGGUUUAAAGGGUGCGUAGGUGGGUUGAUAAGUCAGACGUGAAAUCCCUCGGCUUAACCGGGGAACUGCGUCUGAUACUGGAUGGCUUGAGUUCGGGAGAGGGAUGCGGAAUUCCAGGUGUAGCGGUGAAAUGCGUAGAUAUCGAGAGGAACACCUGCGGCGAAGGCGGGUUGCUGGGCUGACACUGACGCUGAGACACGAAAGCGUGGGUAGCAAACAGG